rfam:Felis catus isolate Cinnamon breed Abyssinian chromosome A1, whole genome shotgun sequence.
GCUUUGCUGGCUCAGUGGGUGGAGCAUGUGACUCUUGAUCUCAGGAUCAUGAGUUCAAGCCCCAUACUGGGUG